rnacentral:rRNA from 1 species
AUUGAACGCUGGCGGCAUGCCUUACACAUGCAAGUCGAACGGUAACAGGUCUUCGGAUGCUGACGAGUGGCGAACGGGUGAGUAAUACAUCGGAACGUGCCUAGUAGUGGGGGAUAACUAUUCGAAAGAGUGGCUAAUACCGCAUGAGAUCUACGGAUGAAAGCAGGGGAUCGCAAGACCUUGUGCUACUAGAGCGGCCGAUGGCAGAUUAGGUAGUUGGUGGGAUAAAAGCUUACCAAGCCGACGAUCUGUAGCUGGUCUGAGAGGACGAUCCGCCACACUGGGACUUAGACACGGCCCAGACUCCUACGGGAGGCAGCAGUGGGGAAUUUUGGACAAUGGGCGAAAGCCUGAUCCAGCAAUGCCGCGUGCAGGAUGAAGGCCUUCGGGUUGUAAACUGCUUUUGUACGGAACGAAAAGCCCCGGGUUAAUACCCUGGGGUCAUGACGGUACCGUAAGAAUAAGCACCGGCUAAUUACGUGCCAGCCGCCGCAGUAA